AUCAUGGGAUUGUUGUGCAAUUCGAAAAUGAAGAGAGCUAUCCGUCGACAGUAUAUAAUUUACACUGUCAUGGAGUUGCUCUCUUUAUGAACGAAUUCAAAAACAGCGAGGGAGUA
rnacentral:precursor_RNA from 15 species